GUAGUACUCCCUCCAUCCCAAAAUUCUUGUCUUACAUUUGUUUAGAUACGGAUGUAUCUAACACUAAAAUGUAACUAGAUACAUCCGUAUUUAGACAAAUUUAAGACAAGAAUUUUGGGACGGACGAAGUAAAAA
rfam:Triticum aestivum genome assembly, contig: Triticum_aestivum_CS42_TGACv1_scaffold_406298_5BL